rnacentral:rRNA from 1 species
UACGGAGGGUGCAAGCGUUGUCCGGAUUCACUGGGUUUAAAGGGUGCGUAGGUGGACAGGUAAGUCAGUGGUGAAAUCUCCAAGCUUAACUUGGAAACUGCCGUUGAUACUAUCUGUCUUGAAUAUCGUGGAGGUAAGCGGAAUAUGUCAUGUAGCGGUGAAAUGCUUAGAUAUGACAUAGAACACCGAUUGCGAAGGCAGCUUACUACACGAUCAUUGACACUGAGGCACGAAAGCCAGGGGAGCAAACGGG